AUUGAACGCUGGCGGCAUGCCUUACACAUGCAAGUCGAACGGCAGCACGGGUGCUUGCACCUGGUGGCGAGUGGCGAACGGGUGAGUAAUACAUCGGAACAUGUCCUGUAGUGGGGGAUAGCCCGGCGAAAGCCGGAUUAAUACCGCAUACGAUCUACGGAUGAAAGCGGGGGCCCUUCGGGCCUCGCGCUAUAGGGUUGGCCGAUGACUGAUUAGCUAGUUGGUGGGGUAAAGGCCUACCAAGGCGACGAUCAGUAGCUGGUCUGAGAGGACGACCAGCCACACUGGGACUGAGACACGGCCCAGACUCCUACGGGAGGCAGCAGUGGGGAAUUUUGGACAAUGGGCGAAAGCCUGAUCCAGCAAUGCCGCGUGUGUGAAGAAGGCCUUCGGGUUGUAAAGCACUUUUGUCCGGAAAGAAAUCCUUGGCCCUAAUACGGUCGGGGGAUGACGGUACCGGAAGAAUAAGCACCGGCUAACUACGUG
rnacentral:rRNA from 1 species